ensembl:lncRNA
UGGAGAUAUCUGUGUACCUGGGGCUCUUCUGGAGGCUGCUUCUCAGAACGUAACCCAAACAACCGAAAUAUUGCACGUUGGCUGCUGAUCUGAAUGUGACAGUGCUUGCUUGGCUUCAAACCAAGUGCUCAGCCCUUCCAAAGCACACUGAUUGGAGCCGUAACCAUCAAGCUAAAUUGAAGCCGUAAAUAUGAGAGAAUGGAGAAGCUCUGCGACUAAUCUCAUUUUUGUGGCUGACGAAGACAUUUGCUAUGUAUUUGCCUGGGGAACAGCAUAGCAACGGGAAAUGAGAAAGACAGAAAGAGCAGAGAAACCAUCAGACUGUUUAUUUUAUAUCACUAUAUCUGUAUCUUAGUGGGGCCUUCCUUUGUGCUGAGCCACGUGGUUUGUUCAUCUCUGGAGUGUUAGAAUGAGCCUGGGGGUGCAGAGGGUGGGUAGGAAUGCCCACCAUCCACAAGCUCUGGGUACCUUCAAUAGCUCCUCACAGACCACCAUGAGCUCCUCAGGCUGCUGGUGGGACAACGGCAGUGAGUCCCACAACAACCCUCCUGGAUGCUCAUUUCUAU